UGGAGAUUGUUCAUAUAGAUAAACAAUAGCUGCCAAAGCAUAUUUUUGAAUGAUCAAAUAAUGGCUUGGCUAGUCACCAAGUCAUCAUCAGAAGUUGGACCUCCUUUUGCUCUGGGGAGAAUAAAAAGGAACAGAUCUCUCCCUCAGACAUCACAUCCUUCUUCAGCAAUCCUUCGAUUCUCCUGUGGUGCUGCACUACUAAAGGUAAUUUAUUAGAAAUCAACUCUGAUUCAACCUUAAGCUUCAAUAUACUUCAAAAAGUGAUGGAGGAUUUUUCAAGAUGUCAAAUCUUUUUCGUCAACAGAAUCAUUCAAGAUGAAAACCUUCAUUCUGAUCGCUUGCAUCCUGGGGACUGCUCUCGGCCGCCCACAAAGGCUGGUCAUGGAGUUUGACUUCCAGGCUGCCAAUGCUCAGGUAAGAAACACUGCUAGUCUACACCUGUUGUUUACAAAGCAUUUGAUUUGAUACAUAGUUACGUUGUCCAUAUUAGGACAUAUACAUAACUCGAGGGUGUUCUUCCAUGGACAUGUGAUGCUGUCCCAAUAUGGGCACCAUAACUGAUGUACAGUCGUGGCCAAAAGUUUUGAGAAUGACCCAAAUAUUAAUUUUCACAAAGUCUGCUGCCUCAGUUUUUGUAUGAUGGCAAUUUGCAUAUACUCCAGAAUGUUAUGAAGAGUGAUCAAAGUCCCUCUUUGCCAUGCAAAUGAACUGAAUCCCCCAAAAAAACAUUUCCACUGCAUUUCAGCCCUGCCACAAAAGGACCAGCUGACAUCAUGUCAGUGAUUCUUUCGUUAACACAGGUGUGAGUGUUGACGAGGACAAGGCUGGAGAUCACUCUGUCAUGCUGAUUGAGUUCGAAUAACAGACUGGAAGCUUCAAAAGGAGGGCGGUGCUUGGAAUCAUUGUUCUUCCUCUGUCAGCCAUGGUUACCUGCAAGGAAACAUGUGCCGUCAUCAUUGCUUUGCACAAGAAGGGCUUCACAGGCAAGGAUAUUGCUGCCAGUAAGAUUGCACCUAAAUCAAUCAUUUAUCGAUCAUCAAGAACUUCAAGGAGAGCAGUUCAAUUGUUCUGAAGAAGGCUUCAGGGCGCCCAAGAAAGUCCAGCAAGCGCCAGGACCGUCUCCGUCUCCUAAAGUUGAUUCAGCUGCGGGAUCGGGGCACCACCAGUACAGAACUUGCUUAUGAAUGGCAGCAGGCAUGUGUGUGUGCAUCUGCACGCACAGUGAGGCGAAG
rnacentral:lncRNA from 8 species